ensembl:lncRNA novel transcript, antisense to NCAM1
CCCCAGGAGCCGGCCGGCUCUGCUCCCACCGCCGCGGGCGCACAAAGUGGGAAGGGCGGACGCGCCGGAGGGGCGCCGGGCGCUGGCGGCUCGGGGAGGCAGCCCCGUGCAGCGCAGCCCUGGAGGGAGCGGGGUUCGGCUGGGCAGCAAGGGCGACGCGCUCCUUUCACAGCUAAACGAAAAUGACCAGCCUUAGCAGUCCACGUAAAACCACCCAAAAUAAUAGCGUUCCUCCUAGGAGUAGGAGGAAGGGAAUUGUUUCCUGCCAGCGGCAGCCGAGCUGCGUUCACGCGCUGAUCGGAGAAUGAGUGACAGUCCCAGCCUCAGCACACUCGCAACUCGGAGAUCCUUGCGCUGGCCCGGAGAGACAUACAACACCCUUCAGCAGAUCCCCUGGGAAGGAGGUGGGAAGAGACUUAAGUUAGAAGAAAACUCCGAUGUUUGGAAGAGAUUUCCAGAAAUAACCCGAAGAAAAUGUUUUCCUGUUUAUAAAUUCUGAAAUCUGUGGUCUCUUUAUUAAAAUAGCCAGGCUUUUAUAUAGGUAUUAUGAUAUAGAAGCGUCAUUAAAUAAUAUUUUCUUACAUGGGGACGUGACCUUAAUUCUUAAAGAUAUUAAUGUAUAAUAUUACUGAGGUACCAACACAAUAGGCUUUAAUUAAAAUUCCACCCGUGUUUUCAAAAGUAGGGGGUGGAGAAAGCGGGGUGAAAAGAAUCAUGUCUCAGCACCUGAAGGCUUGGGUAUGUAAGGAACUAAUGUGAGAAAGGUGUUCUAGAUGUCAGGUUAACCCAUUAGCCUAGAACACUGAAACCCUCUAACAGAGGAAGUCUGCAUAAGUUCAAAGGCAUUAAAGCACUAAUGUUACCGGGUACUCCGUUUUUCUUCAAAGGUCGGCCUCCCCACUCCUGUAGCAGGUUUUUUGUUUUGUUUUGUUUUGUUUUGUUUCUGUUUUGUUUUUUUGAGAUGGAGCCUCGCUCUGUCGCCCAGGCUGCAGUGCAGUGGCGCCAUCUCUGCUCACUGCAACCUCUGCUCCCGGUUCAAGCGAUUCUGCUGCCUCAGCCUCCUGAGUAGCUGGGAUUACAGGCGCGCGCCACCACGCCCAGCUAAUUUUUGUAUUUUUAGUAGAGACGGUGUUUCACCAUGUUGGUCAGGCCGGUCUCGAACUCCUGACCUCGUGAUCUGCCCACCUCAGCCUCCCAAAGUGCUAGGAUUACAGCCGUGAGCUACCGCACCCAGCCGCUGUAGCAGUUUUUAAAAGUCCAUCCUCUACUGUCAGGACAUCCAUCCUUAUUGGACAGGCCCCAUCUCUUCCCCACUUUCCUCCUCUAUAAUAGACCAAGUGGGCCACACCAGUACAGUGUAAUUAGCUUGGACCCCUGAAAAGUAUUUCUUCCCCCAAGUAAAUCUUCCACAACGUUUACUUUGGGCUAUUUCUCUCAUUCCAAGUAUAAACAAUUCAAAAGUACAGAAAAGUAGAAAGAACUAAAAAUAACCCCAAAUCCCACAGAUUCCAGAGAUACUCAUAGAUUUUGUCUUCUGUAUGUGCAUAUGAUUUUUAUAAUUGACAUAUUAUAGUAGCAAUUUGAAUCCUGCUGAUUUUGCCUAACAUCAGUAUAAGCAUUUAUUCCUCUGGAUCAUUAAAAAGCUUUUCUAGAUAUUUUUAUAGCUAUGUAAUAUUUCUU